AUGACGCGAUCGACGCGGGCGCGGGGG
rnacentral:sRNA from 1 species